AGCGAACGCUGGCGGCAGGCCUAACACAUGCAAGUCGAACGAAGUCUUUGGACUUAGUGGCGGACGGGUGAGUAACACGUGGGAACGUACCUUUUGGUUCGGAACAACUCAGGGAAACUUGAGCUAAUACCGGAUGAGCCCUUAGGGGGAAAGAUUUAUCGCCGAAAGAGCGGCCCGCGUUAGAUUAGCUAGUUGGUGAGGUAAAGGCUCACCAAGGCUACGAUCUAUAGCUGGUCUGAGAGGAUGAUCAGCCACACUGGGACUGAGACACGGCCCAGACUCCUACGGGAGGCAGCAGUGGGGAAUCUUGCGCAAUGGGCGAAAGCCUGACGCAGCCAUGCCGCGUGAAUGAUGAAGGUCUUAGGAUUGUAAAAUUCUUUUACCAGGGACGAUAAUGACGGUACCUGGAGAAAAAGCCCCGGCUAACUUCGUGCCAGCCGCCGCGGUAA
rnacentral:rRNA from 1 species